GCCUGGCUGGCUCAGUGAGUAGAGCAUGUGACUCUUGAUCUCAGGAUUGUGAGUUCGAGCCCCACGUUGGGUG
rnacentral:tRNA from 1 species